rnacentral:lncRNA from 1 species
UCCAUCCUCCAGGUCUCUGUCCUCCAUUGUCUCGAGAGAAAUCCCAGGGUUUGACAUGCACCACCAGUCUCCAGCUCUCAUGCGUUACCAAUCUCUAACUUCAAUGUAUAGAAGUCAUCCUUUCAAGCUUAAAGGAGAGAGAAAUGGAGUUUGAAAUAUUGUCCUCUCCAUCUGUAUCCUCUAUCCUACGCUAAACUGGUAGCUCUCCAUUUUUUCCCUAGUGCUGAGCUUCUCGCGCAACAAUGGCCUUCGACUUUCCUGCACCAUCAUUCUCCGACACCCAUGCAUCAUAUGA